rnacentral:rRNA from 1 species
GAUCAUGGCUCAGAUUGAACGCUGGCGGCAGGCCUAACACAUGCAAGUCGAACGGUAACAGGAAACAGCUUGCUGUUUCGCUGACGAGUGGCGGACGGGUGAGUAAUGUCUGGGAAACUGCCUGAUGGAGGGGGGAUAACUACUGGAAACGGUAGCUAAUACCGCAUAACGUCGCAAGACCAAAGAGGGGGACCUUCGGGCCUCUUGCCAUCGGAUGUGCCCAGAUGGGAUUAGCUAGUAGGUGGGGG